CACACGGAGAGGGCAGGUCAGCGAGCAACGGGCAACCACUACAUCUGCAGCAACUGCUAUUACGUCUACAAUUACUGCAACUGAACCAAACCCGCUAAUCUACGGCGGCGGCGAUCUUUGCUCACCUGCUGACACGAGCACCACGGCGGUGAAGAGUCCGAGCUCCUCGCUGUCCAGCUCCAGCGCCGCCAGCUUGUGGCUGAAGUCAAACAUGGCUCCCAGCAGGUCCCUCAUGCCCAUUGCUCGCAGCUCCUCCAGGCUGUAGGUGGCGCCGGAGACGAACGUCACCGUCUGCUCCUUCAUGUUAAACAGCGACGCAAAACGCACCA